GGCGAACGGGUGAGUAACACGUGGGCAACCUGCCCUCAGCUCUGGGAUAACUCCAAGAAAUUGGGGCUAAUACCGGAUAUGACCGCUGACCGCAUGGUCUGGUGGUGGAAAGAUUUAUCGGCUGGGGAUGGGCCCGCGGCCUAUCAGCUUGUUGGUGGGGUAGUGGCCUACCAAGGCGACGACGGGUAGCCGGCCUGAGAGGGUGACCGGCCACACUGGGACUGAGACACGGCCCAGACUCCUACGGGAGGCAGCAGUGGGGAAUAUUGCGCAAUGGGCGAAAGCCUGACGCAGCGACGCCGCGUGGGGGAUGACGGCCUUCGGGUUGUAAACCUCUUUCAGCAGGGACGAAGCGAAAGUGACGGUACCUGCAGAAGAAGCACCGGCCAACUACGUGCCAGCAGCCGCGGUAAUACGUAGGGUGCAAGCGUUGUCCGGAAUUAUUGGGCGUAAGGAGCUCGUAGGCGGUUUGUUGCGUCGGCUGUGAAAUCCCGAGGCUCAACCUCGGGUCUGCAGUCGAUACGAGCAAACUAGAGUGUUGCAGGGGAGACUGGAAUUCCUGGUGUAGCGGUGAAAUGCGCAGAUAUCAGGAGGAACACCGGUGGCGAAGGCGGGUCUCUGGGCAACAACUGACGCUGAGGAGCGAAAGCGUGGGGAGCGAACAGGAUUAGAUACCCUGGUAGUCC
rnacentral:rRNA from 1 species